GGGGAAUUUUGGACAAUGGGGGCAACCCUGAUCCAGCCAUGCCGCGUGUCUGAAGAAGGCCUUCGGGUUGUAAAGGACUUUUGUCAGGGAGCAAAACCUAUCUUUGAAUAGAGGAUGGGGUUGAGAGUACCUGAAGAAUAAGCACCGGCUAACUACGUGCCAGCAGCCGCGGUAAUACGUAGGGUGCAAGCGUUAAUCGGAAUAACUGGGCGUAAAGCGUGCGCAGGCGGUUGAAGAAGUCUGAUGUGAAAGCCCCGGGCUUAACCUGGGAACGGCAUUGGAAACUGAUCAGCUAGAGUACGUCAGAGGGGGGUAGAAUUCCACGUGUAGCAGUGAAAUGCGUAGAGAUGUGGAGGAAUACCGAUGGCGAAGGCAGCCCCCUGGGAUGAUACUGACGCUCAAGCACGAAAGCGUGGGGAGCAAAC
rnacentral:rRNA from 1 species